UAUUGGUCAAUGGGCGCGAGCCUGAACCAGCCAAGUAGCGUGCAGGAUGACGGCCCUAUGGGUUGUAAACUUCUUUUAUAUGGGAAUAAAGUUUGGUAUGUAUACCAUUUUGUAUGUACCAUAUGAAUAAGGAUCGGCUAACUCCGUGCCAGCAGCCGCGGUAAUACGGGGGAUGCAAGCGUUAUCCGGAUUUAUUGGGUUUAAAGGGUGCGUAGGCGGGAUGCCAAGUCAGCGGUCAAAUACGGGGGCUCAACCUGCGUCCGCCGUUGAAACUGGCGUUCUUGAGUGGGCGAGAAGUACGCGGAAUGCGUGGUGUAGCGGUGAAAUGCAUAGAUAUCACGCAGAACCCCGAUUGCGAAGGCAGCGUACCGGCGCCCUACUGACGCUGAAGCACGAAAGCGUGGGUAUCGAAC
rnacentral:rRNA from 1 species